UAUGUGCCAUGGAAAUUUGAACUUCUUUAAGUGUAGUUAUAAAAUGGUUAAGUAUGUUGAUUAGAUGAUGCAAGUAUGGGGCAAUGGCAGUUAUAUGUAGUUGCACUGGCCCACUCGCCUGUAAAGCUCUGCCACUCUGUGCGUAUUCUUGUACUCUCUUUUAUGCUCCUUCCUUUAACUGGAGUGCGGAAAUUUGCAUGUGCUUUCAUGCUUUUACACUAUUUGUAGUUUUUCCUUUUUUUUCGGCGCUUUCUUUUAUUGCUUGACUCGCGACGAGAUGCAGCCGGCGCCACGUAAAGGCGCCAACCUCUAAUUUAAAUUCACAUCAUAGGGAAAAAAGAGAAAGCAGCAGACAAGCAGCCUCGAAUAUUAAACCCACGGGAGCACCUCUUUCAGUUAUGACGAGCACAAAGUAAAUUAUAUGUACUCACGUAUUUAACGACUGUUCGCAACCGCAAAGCGCAGUGUACGCAGAAUUUUUGUAUAGAACGAAAUGACUGUAUUCACAGAGGUACAACCUUGAGAGGUUAAUAGGGGCGGUAAGCAUGGAAAAACAGGCGCUAGGAGGAAUUCUAUUGUUGCCGCUAUGAGGAAGGAGGGAGCUCGCGCCGGCAGUGUUCAACUAGCACGAGUCCACUUGCACGCACCGAGAUGCUGCUACGUUGGACCUGUGCGUUCUUCUGGCUAUGACCCACCUUCGCAUGCUGCAAAUCAAGGCAGUGGCACAAACGGACAUCAAGUUUGCAGCCGUGAACUUCGCACCCCCUCCCCCUCCCAUACACACGGGCGCACAUGCAUACACACAUACACUUCUGCCUUGCAGCCGGGCCCUCUCAUAGCCGGUUCUAAGGGAGGCUUUUGUCCUAUUUUUCUGCUGUUAAGUAAAAACGCUGAACAAGUCGUUUGAUUCGCUGGGGGAUGACGCGAACUGGCUGAAGAGAAGCGUUUCAAAUCAUUUCCAGGGGACGCAACACCAACAAAAAUGAAGAAAUAUUAUAAACAGAAAAAUAAAAAAUAAAGAACUAGCUCAUUAUUAUAGUGCGCAUUUAGGAGGCAUUUAACCAGAACCUCCCUGCCUUCUUCUUAUCUCUUUUCCUCCCUCCUCCUCCUAGGAGGCAUUUAAGAGGAAAGCUACAUUUCUUGACGCUUAAACACUCUCCUGUGUGCCUCUAAAGGAAAGUCGAAAACGAUUACGUGUUCCUUUGUGUCAAAUUUAUGAAAAGAGUUUUGUUUCUGAA